AUCUCUUAUAAUUCUCAACCUAUGUGAAAAUUCAGGUCAUUAAAUGGCAGAAUUGGGGUUGGAAUGUACAUCAGAAUAAUUCAGAAACCUGUGUUCUUUCCAAUGUAUCCUGUAGUAAUACUGAAUAUUAUAAUUAUUUUAUCAAAUGUAAUGCUCAUUACACAUAAAACCUUUCUUUCUUCCCAGAAUGUCCCUGAAGGAAAAGGAAGUGUAUGUGGAGAUGUUCAGCAAUCCAAUAAAGAUGGCUGCCUUUGAAGAGAAAAAUAAAGUAAAUGAGGUAGUUGAAGUGAAUGAUGUAAGGACAUUCCAAUCAGGAAGGAGGAGUGGGAUAGCUGGAUGGUUCCAUUCCUAGCUUUUGAGAAAUCUCCAUGCAGUUUUCCAGAGUGAUUUUAUUAAUUUGAAGUCUGAAGUCUCCAUCACAAGGUAUGAGUGUACCUUUUCCCCUGAACCUUUGAAAGCUGGGAUUACAAGUGUGUGCCACCAUGC